rnacentral:misc_RNA from 1 species
CGCACAUUGCGCCCAUUGGUAUUCCGAUGGGCAUGCCUGUUCGAGCGUCAUUAUCACCCCUCAAGCCCGGCUUGGUGUUGGACCCGUGACCACGCGAGCGGUCAGGUCCCAAAGACAAUGACGGCGUCUGUUGGACCCUCGGUGCAAUGAGCUUUUUCUCAAAGCACGCACCGAGUUGCAAGGACCUUCAGCCCGGCCUCAACCUUUUAUUUUACCAGGUUGACCUCGGAUCAGGUAGGGAUACCCGCUGAACUUAA